CAGUAGCCGCGGGAAUACGUAGGGUGCAAGCGUUAAUCGGAAUUAUUGGGCGUAAAGCGCGCGCAGGCGGUUUCUUAAGUCUGAUGUGAAAGCCCCCGGCUUAACCGGGGAGGGUCAUUGGAAACUGGGAGACUUAGAGUGCAGAAGAGGAGAGUGGAAUUCCAUGUGUAGCGGUGAAAUGCGUAGAUAUAUGGAGGAACACCAGUGGCGAAGGCGACUCUCUGGUCUGUAACUGACGCUGAGGCGCGAAAGCGCGGGGAGCAAACAGGAUUAGAUACCCGCGUAGUCCCUGUCUCUUAUA
rnacentral:rRNA from 1 species